GAAAUGCGAUAAGUAGUGUGAAUUACAGAAUUCAGUGAAUCAUCGAAUCUUUGAACGCACAUUGCGCCCCUUGGUAUUCCAUGGGGCAUGCCUGUUCGAGCGUCAUCUACACCCUCAAGCUCUGCUUGGUGUUGGGCGUCUUUGUCCCGCCUCCGCGCGCGGACUCGCCCCAAAUUCAUUGGCAGCGGUCCUUGCCUCCUCUCGCGCAGCACAUUGCGCUUCUCGAGGUGUUGCGGCCCGCGUCCAGAAAGCAAUCGUUACCGUCUUUGACCUCGGAUCAGGUAGGGAUACCCGCUGAACUUAAGC
rnacentral:misc_RNA from 1 species